GGUUUCUUGGUGCAGUGGCAGCACGCCUCCCCUGCUUGUAUUAUUAGGAGGAGACGCAAGUUCGACUCUUGCAGAAGCCC